rnacentral:rRNA from 1 species
ACACGACUACAUUAGAUACCCGCGUAGUCCCAGCCCUAAACGAUGCGCGUUAGGUGUAUCGGUGACCACGAGUCACCGAGGUGCCGAAGGGAAACCGUGAAACGUGCCGCCUGGGAAGUACGGUCGCAAGGCUGAACCUUAAAGGAAUUGGCGGGGGAGCACCACAACGGGUGGAGCCUGCGGUUUAAUUGGACUCAACGCCGGGAAGCUCACCGGAUAAGACAGCGGAAUGAUUGCCGGGCUGAAGACCCUGCAUGACCAGCUG